rnacentral:tRNA from 1 species
CGGGGCGUAGCGCAGUCUGGUAGCGCAUCCGCUUUGGGAGCGGAGGGUCGGUUGGGUUCGAAUCCCCCCGCCCCGA